rnacentral:lncRNA from 1 species
UUAAGAGUCCUUUUAAUACAGCAUGAAAAGGCUAUAUUUCUAUAGGCAGGCCGUAUACAGAUUCUCCAGGAAUAAGGCACACAACGGAAUGCCAUCCCGAGGGCGGCCCUCGGGAGCGGUCGGGAGCCUCCUCCACGCACCCUCCGAGCUGGCCCACGGGUUCUGUUUGUCUUUCUAGCUAGACGCACACAUAUUAACAGAUACAGACAUGGACAGGGUCACCACAUGCGAGUGGAGGACGUCGAGUGAGGUUGGCAACAGAGAGCGAUGAAUUCCCCAAGGCUGGACGCCUCCCAGAUUUCAGGGUUAGCUGUCGCUCUGGGCUGUGAUGUAGUGAUGCUGGGUUAAAUAUUCAUUUCGAGUAGAUUCAAGUCCAUUAGAUGGUGGAGGGCAGGGGGACAAAUCCAAGUUCAAAGAGCAUGGGGACCUGGGACAUGGCUCAGAUGGCAAAGCUCCAAAAGGAACGGUGUGAAGUCUGUCUUCCUCUUCCCUCUUUGGGCUGUUCUGACCGGAAGCCCUGGAUCAGGCCAAGGAGGCCAUCUUUGGAGCUGGCCAACCAUAGAGGGGCUAGUCAGUCACAUGCCCCCUGUUCCCCUAGCUCACUCCUGCCCCCCCACAAGAUUAAUAACCAUAAUAACAAGAUAAUAAUAAGAAGGUGCAAGAGAAUGGAUUAUAGUGCUGUGUUAUCCUCAGCUGAAGAGGCUCAAAGAGCUCCCCAUUCCCUUUUUCACUAAGUAUCUAAUAAUAGCUUCCCUCCAAAAAGGCAAUACUUUCCAAAAUACACAUAUGUAUAAAUACAGGACAGGAACAUAUUAAUAAGUAUAAGCACUUGAAUAAUAUGCUGACUACUUAAUACUGAUAUUUUCAUCCAAGGCAAACAAGAGAGAAUAACAAUAAUAUGGCUUAAAGAAUUGCAAAGAUUUUUUUUUCCUCAUCAGAAUUAUGUACCAACUUCAUAUAAUAUUCUAUGUAGACAAUAUUUCCUUAAUGUAAUUCAGUUGCAGACUUUUUACAGACCAAAGCAUAGUAAAAAAUCAAACCAAAAAAAAAAAAAAAACAGGAAAAAAAGAAAAGUUCUCACCAUAAAUAUUUUCUUGCAGCUCAACCAGAAGGUUUGCAAAAAAUACUUCCAGAAAUCUUCAUUUGAUAUUCUACUGCCCUCCUGAAAGCUCUGAAGUUUUGAAAAUGCCUCUCCUUUUGUUUAUUUUAAAUCUCAAAAAUCAAGUAAUUAUAUUUUUCUUGUCUUUUUCUUUUUCUUCUUUUUUUUUUAAAAAAGGCCCUCAAAUAUAUACAGACAAAAAUCACUGUGAAGAUCUUUCGGGAGAAGGUAACAAAUUCAGUGUUGUGAGAAAAAUUGGAAACCAUGCAGAAAUUUUAACAUCCAUGAAUUUUCUUUUCAAAAUACACACAUAGUAUUUUUCUUUAAAAAAAAAAAAAAAAAGGAAUUCUGUGUCAAGUAUAACUCAAAAUAAAUACAAAUUCACAAGUAGAACUAUUGAAUACUUCAUAUGGGGUAAACACCAUUAUCUCCCAACUAGAUCGCUAGAUCUACUAACUGCAAGCGAUUGUCCCUUUUGAACAUACUGAAACCACACACUUUCUUGUCUCCUGGACGCCCGGGCCCUCUGAGCACUUAAUUCUCACAGCACCAGCCUGGACAGCAGUGGCUUUUGCUGACCACACAGAGCUCCCAAAUUCAGCCAGGGGGCGGGGGCAAUAUGGAAGGGCUGCCCCAGGCAGGAGGGCCUAGCCCCCCCACAGUGGCUGAUUCUGCACAGAUGGCAGCGGCAGUGACUGCCAGCUGGACAAGCCCACUGCAAAGGUCACUUUGGGGUGAUAUUCCUUCUGGAGUCUGGAGCCUGGGUUCUUUCUAGGAUGUGGACUUCCCGCACAACCUCAGCCCAAGCACCCAGAAGCCCAGGUCCUCCCUGUGGGGCCAGGUCCCUGGAAGUCUUGGGGCCUUGUCCUCGCAGUGGAAACCAGGACACUGCCACCCCUUGUGAAUGCUCUCUUUAGAGGGACACGAGGAUGACUGACAGUGACAGCUUCUCGGGGACAGAGAACCCAGGGCCAGGGUGACUCUGGCUCACCUUGACACAGUAGAGCAGGCAGGGAGCAGAGGGAUUCUUCAGUGGGCGGUAAGCACGUUCACAGUUGGUGGCGGGCGUUCUGCCCCUGCAGGCCUGGAGGGAGGCAGCUACAGGGCUCAGGCUGGAGCACACACACCCUUCCUAAGUGCUCAGAGGGCUUGGUCCCCCCCAAUCUACCCUGCAGCCCUCUGGCUGCAAACACUCUCAACUCCAUCUCUUCAACUCACUCCCUGGACCCCUGAUUAACACUUUGCCGUAACUCCUCAGUUGUACAAAGCAUUUUCACUUGAAAACCAAAGACGACCGGCCCCAGGUUGGGUGUCCUUGAGCCGUGGUAAACACUGAAUUUCAGGCCCAUUCCGCGGUCUGAUUUUUUUUUUUUUUUUUUUUUUUUCCCCACAGAGGCAUAAUGUUGGGGCAACAUCAAAGGACCCAGCCCUGGGAGAAAGGAAGGGUAAUAUGACAAAGCAAAUAGGGCUUCUCAUGGGGGACAGAGCAGAGAGGAAGGCAAUCCUUCCCACUAGCCAGGACAGCAUUGGCAGGCCUGUCCAGUGUGAGUGCCAGGAGGCCUCUCCGCCCCCUCGGGAGGUAGGAAUCAUUGUCCCCACUUUGCAAACCAGAGGUUCUGUAGCGUGUCUUGGGGUUGCCCUGUAAGGAGGGGGAGACCUUUCUCCUUCACGUUUGCAGGGUAGGGGACAAAAGACAUGGCUGGGGUUGCAGGGGGCAACAGGGGAGGACCUGCAUCCCUCCACCUGAUUUCUUAAGUGACUGACUGAUGGGUGAUAGUGGGAAGGGGAUGGGUAGGGAGCCUGGGGAAACUCUCCAAAUAAAGCUCUCUGCUCCAGGAGAUGGCACCCAGCCAGGCAGAAUUCCAGAACAUCAGGACAGAAAUGGGCCUCUCUGGUGUCACUCUCUCUUUCUCUCAGUGGGGAAACAGAGGCCCAGAGGUGAGAAUCCUUCUCAAGGCUCUGUAGUGCAUCAGUGGCGGGGUCAGCAUUAAAACCCAGGUCUUUGGACUGCCAGGCCUGGGUCCUUCCUGCCAGAGUGGUUUCCCUGCUGGGUCCUAUUGCCUCCUUCCGGGUGUGGCUCCCCAGCAUGGGUGAGAGGGGAAGGAGAAGGGAAGGGGAUAGGGCUGGCAAAAUCCAAACGCGUGGGGGAAGUCUGUGGUGGGGGAGGGGGCGUUGCCCUCUGUGCCCCAGGUCACACGCUGGAGGAGAGAGAUACACAGGGUGGGCCCGGAGAGAGAGCACGUGCGCCUGUAAUCACAGAGGUUGUUUCAAGAAGCACCCAGGACCCUUCCUGCCUCUCACCUACUGCAGGCAACACAUGUGUUCUAAGUCCCAGAGGCAUGGCUGAGGCCUUGGGCUGGGGCUAGGGCUAUGGGAGGCUUUUACCCAGAGCCCUGGGUCUAGAUGCCACUUCGCCCUCCCCCGUGAUCUCUGAGCGGCCACCAUUUGAAGCUCACUAAAGCCCAGGACAGAGGCAGGACAACGGUGCACAGACAUUAACCAGAUGAUGAAACCAGGGUCCAGCACAAGGGAGGCCCAAGUCAUAUCUCCUGAUUCCCAGCAUCCACUGCCUCUUCCCAGGUCACUUGUCACCCACACAACUGCUCCUGUGGCCUCAAGACUCAAAGGGUGUUUAACCUCGACACAGUCCCGGUGUUUCAGGCUUAGAGUAAUUGAACCCUUAGCUCUGUGUGGUCAGCUGCCAGUGUUCUAAUUUGUCCCUGAUCCCUGAGCCUGGCACAGCACCUGCCCUGUUUGAUGAGUGCCUAGAUGCUUCUUAACAGGGAAACCGAGGCCCCAAGAAAAGCUAGACCUAUGAUACCACUCAUUCACAAUGUGGCCUCAGAGAGCUUCCAUUUCCACAUCUGUAAAGUGGGUGACUGUUGAGCUUGUUUGCAGGGAGGAGUCAGUAUCUAGAUGUCUGUAAACUGAGCAGUGUUGGGCACAUAC